CAGAAACACGAUUGGUGCUUGCAUGGCA
rnacentral:piRNA from 1 species